rnacentral:rRNA from 1 species
GAUGAACGCUGGCGGCGUGCCUAAUACAUGCAAGUCGAGCGAACAGACGAGGAGCUUGCUCCUCUGACGUUAGCGGCGGACGGGUGAGUAACACGUGGAUAACCUACCUAUAAGACUGGGAUAACUUCGGGAAACCGGAGCUAAUACCGGAUAAUAUAUCGAACCGCAUGGUUCAAUAGUGUAAGACGGUUUUGCUGUCACUUAUAGAUGGAUCCGCGCCGCAUUAGCUAGUUGGUAAGGUAACGGCUUACCAAGGCAACGAUGCGUAGCCGACCUGAGAGGGUGAUCGGCCACACUGGAACUGAGACACGGUCCAGACUCCUACGGGAGGCAGCAGUAGGGAAUCUUCCGCAAUGGGCGAAAGCUUGACGGAGCAACGCCGCGUGAGUGAUGAAGGUCUUCGGAUCGUAAAACUCUGUUAGGAGGGAAGAACAAAUGUGUAAGUAACUAUGCACGUCUUGACGGUACCUAAUCAGAAAGCCACGGCUAACUACGUG